GCGCCCGUAGCUCAGUGGAUAGAGCAACCGCCUUCUAAGCGGUCGGUCGGACGUUCGAGUCGUCUCGGGCGCG
rnacentral:tRNA from 1 species